ACCCCUGCUGACUCCCCCACACCUGCCUCCACUCCCCACGCGCCAGCCACCCUCGAUCCGAACCCUAGCCGCCAGCUCCCCAUCGCCCCCAACCCAACCUUGCUCCGCGCGGCCGGGCUCCGGCGGUCGGCGGCCCUAACCCUGCCCCGCCUCCUUCCCCAACCCAAUCCUGCUCCUGCCGCCAGCACCCCUGCUCCUGAGGCUGGCGCCCCUGCUCCUGCGGCCGGCGGACCUUCUCGGCAGUUGGUGCCCCUGCUCCUACGGCCGGUGGACGCGGACCUGCUUCUUGGAGGACAAUGUUGUGGACAACAGCAAUGAAGAGAUGGAGGGGGCCAUAGAGAAGGGUCGAGGGUGGAGGCCGGUUCUUACGCACCUAAUUUGUUGCUACUCCUGUUACUUUACUUGAUGUGGCCUGCUUCCUUUUCAUUUUUUGCCAAACUGCUAGCAAGGCGUUCCUGUAUUUUCUGUAAUGCAUUAUUAAUGUUGCAACCUAUAAUGCCCCUAUGAUGUGAACUAUAUUGUGGUAUUAGUGUAUUUACUUCUCUUUGGAUUAUGAUACUA